rnacentral:lncRNA from 1 species
GCACCAGGAUUAUGCACUUCCGUGUCAAUUUCAUGCCAAGUUCCUUUUAUUCUUAAUGCAUAGCCUAGCUAGCUUCAACUCCCCAGAAAAUGAUGACAUUCUGUAAUUGAAGGGGUGAUCAUCAACAUCAACCUAUUGUACCAGCAUGUGCCAUUCGAUGGAAAGGUUCGAAAAGAGUUUGAAUAGAUUACAUGACUACCAGUUACAACUUAGGUCAUGUUUGGUUCUCUUAUGACUGCCUUACCAAGAAACCCUC